GACGAACGCUGGCGGCGUGCUUAACACAUGCAAGUCGAGCGGAGCGGCGAACGGGUGAGUAACGCGUGAGUAACUGCCCUCCUCUCUGGGAUAACAGUUGGAAAGGGCUGCGAAUACCGGAUAGUGGGGGAUGACUCGCGUCCUAUCAGCUUGUAGGUGGGGUAGUGGCCUACCGAGGCGACGACGGGUAACCGGGCUGAGAGGGCGACCGGCCAAAUGGGUCUGAGCGACUGCCCACACGCUUACGGGAGGCAGUAGCGGGGAAUGUUGCACAAUGGGGGCAACCGUGGUGAGGCACGCCGCGUGAGGGAUGACGGCUUUCGGGUUGUAAACCGCUUUCAGCCAUGCCGCGGUAGUGGCAGAAGAAGAACCGGCUAACUGCGGGCCAGCAGCCGCGGUAAUAC
rnacentral:rRNA from 1 species